rnacentral:rRNA from 1 species
AGCUCUUGACAUGGGAAGUAUGGGCCCUGGCGACGGGGUCCUUCAGUUCGGCUGGCUUCCACACAGGUGCUGCAUGGCUGUCGUCAGCUCGUGUCGUGAGAUGUUGGGUUAAGUCCCGCAACGAGCGCAACCCUCGUCUCCAGUUGCCAUCGGGUAGAGCCGGGCACUUUGGAGAAACUGCCGGUGACAAGCCGGAGGAAGGUGGGGAUGACGUCAAGUCCUCAUGGCCUUUAUGGGCUGGG